AUUUUUCAAUAAUAUUUUCCAUGUAUGGAUCAAUGUAAAACGAAUUUUCAACUGGUUCAUAUUUUUCGAAAAUAUUAUUCCUUAUUAAAUUCUUUUGUAGGCCUUUUUACAAAUUUAAUGUUUAUGAAUUCAUUUAUUGGAACAAUGAAGACGUUGCUCGAUGGUUUAAACUUCUUAUUAAAGAUAUUAUCAGAGGAAUUAUUAUAUACAUUUAGUAUUUAUAUAUUUCAAUAAUAUUUUCCUUGUAUGGAUCAAUGUAAAACGAAUUUUGCACUGGUUUAUAUUUUUUGGAAAUAUUAUUACUAAAUAAAUUCUUUUGUAGGCAUUUUUACAAAUUAACCGUGUACCAAAUUCGGUCCUUAGACGUGAAAGAAAACACAUAUGUAAAACGGAUGUUUUUGUAUUCAAUGGUAAAAUUCAUUCAUUGGAACAAUGAAGACGUUGCUCGAUGUUUUAAACUUCUUAUUAAAGAUAUUAUCAGAAUAACUAUUAUAUACAUUUAGUAUUUUUAUUUUUUCAAUAAUAUUUUCCUUGUAUGGAUCAAUGUAAAACGAAUUUUGCACUGGUUUAUAUUUUUUGGAAAUAUUAUUACUAAAUAAAUUCUUUUGUAGGCAUUUUUACAAAUUAACCGUGUACCAUAUUCGAGGGCAUAUUGAAAAUAUAAAACGUUUAUCGAAAUCGUUAAUUGGGUGUGUUAUAGAACACGUUUGUAAAGCUAAUGUUUUGGUAAUCAUUGGUGACCAAUGAAGACGUUGCUUAAUGUUUUAAACUUCUUAUUAAAGAUAUUAUCAGAGAAACUAUUAUAUACAUUAAGUAUCUUAAUAUUUCAAUAAUAUUUUCCUUGUAUGGAUCAAUGUAAAACGAAUUUUUCACUGGUUUAUAUUUUUUGAAAAUAUUAUUCCUUAAUAAAUUCUGUUGUAGGCAUUUUUACAAAAUUUAUGUUUAUAAAUUCAUUUAUUGGAACAAUGAAGACGUUGCUCGAUAUCAGAAUAACUAUUAUAUACAUUUAGUAUUUUUAUUUUUUCAAUAAUAUUUUCCUUGUAUGGAUCAAUGUAAAACGAAUUAUGCACUGGUUUAUAUUUUUUGAAAAUAUAUUUACAAACUAAAUUCUGUUGUAGGCAUUUUUACAAAAUUUAUGUUUAUGAAUUCAUUCUUUGGAACAAUGAAGACGCUGCUCGAUGUUUUAACCUUCUUAUUAAAGAUAUUAUCAGAGGAAUUAUAUACAUUUAGUAUCUUAAUAUUUCAAUAAUAUUUUCCUUGUAUGGAUCAAUGUAAAACGAAUUUUGAACUGGUUCAUAAUUUUCGAAAAUAUUAUUCCUUAAUAAAUUCUUUUGUAGGCAUUUUUACAAAUUUAAUGUAUAUGAAUUCAUUUAUUGGAACAAUGAAGACGUUGCUCGAUGUUUUAAACUUCUUAUUAAAGAUAUUAUCAGAGAAACUAUUAUAUACAUUAAUUUUUUUUUAUUUUUCAAUAAUAUUUUCCAUGUAUGGAUCAAUGUAAAACGAAUUUNAACGAAUUAUGCU